GUAGGGGUCCUGCGCAACAGGGCGCCGUGAACCUUGUCAGGACCGAGAGGUAGCAGCAAUAAGCGGUUAGCAAUGUGUGCCGCAGAUCAGCCUCUGCGUA
rnacentral:SRP_RNA from 1 species